AUUGAACGCUGGCGGCAGGCCUAACACAUGCAAGUCGAACGAGUGGCGGACGGGUGAGUAAUGUAUGGGAAACUGCCUGAUGGAGGGGGAUAACUACUGGAAACGGUAGAUAAUACCGCAUACAAUCAGAUGUGCCCAGAUGGCAUUAGCUAGUUGGUGGGGUAACGGCUCACCAAGGCGACGAUCCCUAGCUGGUCUGAGAGGAUGACCAGCCACACUGGGACUGAGACACGGUCCAGACUCCUACGGGAGGCAGCAGUAGGGAAUAUUGCGCAAUGGGCGCAAGCCUGAGGCAGCAAUGCCGCGUGUAUGAAGAAGGCCUUCGGAUUGUAAAGUACUUUCGGCAGGGAGGCGUUACCCGCAGAAGAAGCACCGGCUAACUCCGUGCCAGCAGCCGCGGUAAUAC
rnacentral:rRNA from 1 species